CGAACGCUGGCGGCGUGCCUAAUACAUGCAAGUAGAACGCUGAAGGAGGAGCUUGCUCUUCUGGAUGAGUUGCGAACGGGUGAGUAACGCGUAGGUAACCUGCCUGGUAGCGGGGGAUAACUAUUGGAAACGAUAGCUAAUACCGCAUAACAGUAGAUGUUGCAUGACAUUUACUUAAAAGGUGCAAUUGCAUCACUACCAGAUGGACCUGCGUUGUAUUAGCUAGUUGGUGGGGUAACGGCUCACCAAGGCGACGAUACAUAGCCGACCUGAGAGGGUGAGCGGCCACACUGGGACUGAGACACGGCCCAGACUCCUACGGGAGGCAGCAGUAGGGAAUCUUCGGCAAUGGACGGAAGUCUGACCGAGCAACGCCGCGUGAGUGAAGAAGGUUUUCGGAUCGUAAAGCUCUGUUGUAAGAGAAGAACGAGUGUGAGAGUGGAAAGUUCACACUGUGACGGUAUCUUACCAGAAAGGGACGGCUAACUACGUG
rnacentral:rRNA from 1 species